rnacentral:misc_RNA from 1 species
GUUUCGGUUCGGUUUGUCUUUUGGGGUUCUUCUCGCCUUCGAAAGCGCCGUCCUUCUUCAGUGUUUUCACAUUUUCACGUACAGUUCAAUCGUGAGGUUCAGCCUAGUGAGUUCUGUGUAGUUAAGUCGGAAUAUUUCGUAUAGUUCUCGUCGACUGUCGUCUGACAUUUGUUCUUCUAUUCCGAAACGCUGCAUUGAAAUACAAAAAUAAUACAAACUAGAAUAUUCAACAAAACAAAAAACCAAGGAAACGAAAAACCAAUUAAAAUUUUAACAAAAUAAUAACUCGCUUCAAAAUAUAUUGCAAAUAUAUCAACAAAUUUAAUCAAAUCAAAUUCACCAACAAAUCGAAAACAAACUCUAUUAAUUCGUUUACUCAAAAAUCCAAAAACACAAAACAACCAAAAACCGAUUCAAAUAUAUAACUGUUAAAUCUAAACGAGCAGGCGAUCUACUGGGAAGCGAGAGAGGAAGGGCAUCAGCAGCAGCACUACUACACGCGUGUGUGUUUAAAUACUGGAAAAUACAGAUAAGAUAAAUUAUUAUAGACACUCACGAGUACAUUUAGAGCAGACCAAACCCAGAGACAGACAACCGCAGAGAAUCAAAAGCACUCCAAGAGCAAAUCAAUAAAACAAAAACAAAACCCAAACAACAACAAAAAAAACAACAACAGAAACAACAGAAACAAAGAGAAAAAGCAACUCAAAAAACAAAAUUUUAAAAAAAGUGUUACCAAAAAAAACUUAAAAAAAAAAGAAAAUUAUUUAAAAGACAAAACCCGUACUCGUAACGGUGCAGACAACUGAAAAUACCCAGUGAAAAUUCAGAAAAGCGUUGACCAUUUUUUCUCGCAAAGGCGCCACGUCCAAGAGCAAAUCGUUCCAUAUGGUUCAUAUUAUUGAAUUGGUCGGCCAGCCGAAGGUUGAGUUUGCUCAACAAGUUACUAUGAACCGUGCUUUACAGCUGAAGCCAGCUGAAAAUGAAAGUCGCAGCGGCUGCGCAUUCGUCAAAUUCGGAACGCAACAGGAGGCUCAGUCAGCAAUAGCCAAUCUACACGGAAGUCAAACUAUGCCGGGUGCAUCCUCCAGCCUGGUCGUCAAAUACGCCGACACAGAGAAGGAACGACAAAUCAGGCGCAUGCAACAAAUGGCCGGUCAUAUGAACCUGCUGAAUCCGUUUGUCUUUAAUCAGUUCAGCCCGUACGGCGCCUACGCUCAGCAACAGCAGCAAGCCGCUCUGAUGGCUGCCGCUGCCACCGCGCCUGGCUCGGCAGCCGCCUACAUGAACCCCAUGGCCGCCCUGGCAACGCAAAUACCUCAUGGCUUGAACGGCACCGGACAGCCGCCCUCUUUGCCCUCGCCGACCAUGCCCAACUUCAGCAUGGGCGCCAACACGCCCAACGGCCAGCCCGGUGGAGCUGCCGCGGCUGCAGCAGCUGCUGCGGCGGACGGGGUCUUCACGAACGGCAUUCCACAAACGGCAUUCCCAGGACAUCCGCUGCAUUUGACUAUACCACCACAAGGUCUGCCAAACGGCGAUGCUGCUACUCUGCAACAUGCCUUCCCUGGGCUGCCACCGUUUCCAGGAGUUGAUUUUCUGAUGUUCCCAGGAUGCUCGAUAUCCGGUCCAGAGGGCUGCAAUCUCUUCAUCUACCAUUUGCCCCAAGAGUUUGGCGAUGCGGAGUUAAUGCAAAUGUUCCUGCCCUUUGGCAAUGUGAUCAGCUCCAAGGUCUUCAUCGAUCGUGCUACAAACCAGAGCAAAUGCUUCGGUUUCGUGUCCUUCGAUAAUCCAGCCAGCGCUCAAGCGGCCAUUCAGGCCAUGAAUGGCUUCCAGAUUGGCAUGAAAAGACUGAAAGUUCAAUUGAAGCGGCCAAAGGAUGCCAGUCGACCCUAUUAACAAUCGGAGUUCCUUAAGUGUAAUUCGCAACAACUACAACUACUUCCUGGAGCACCAACAACAGGAGUAGUCGCAGGAGCAGCCAUGCCACAAACUACAACACAAUUUGCAACAGCAGCAGCAGCAGCAGCAACAGCAUCCACAGCAACAGCAACAGCCACAGCAACAACCACAGUGCACCACUAUAGUCACAGAAGCAGCUUUAGGCCACCAUUUCCCAAUGACAACUCCACUCAUAUGCCGGUAUCAAUUCGCCAGCUGGCGCGAAAUGGUGACCUACUGCUAUCGCUAUAUAGUACCCCGCCAGAAACACUUCCUCCCCAGCCCCAAAAAGCAACCAACAACAGCAACAUCAGCAAGGACAACAACAACAGCACCAACCAACAACAACAGCACCAACAAACACCCACCAGCAGCACCACACCAAACAACAAUAGCAAGCACUGCAGGCAGCAGAAUGGACCGAUUCCCAUCCACAUCCAACUCAACCGGACAUGGCAUCCAAUAGCAACCAGAAGGAACUAUCCAAAGUGGAAUAAGUCGAAAAACUGUUCAAGUGGCAGCAACAAAAGCGAAAGACCUAAAGCCACCAGGACCCCACAAACAGCAACCAUGACAACUGCGACAACAAUAACGAGCGACUACUGAAAGGAUGGUCUUCACCAUGCUAAGUGAAAUGAUUAUAAAAAUUAAACACAUGCAAAAUCGGUGUGUAAAAAAACCUAAAAUAAUAGUAAACAACCAAA